AUGGUACCCCAUGACCAAAUGUCUUGCGUGCUUGUAAAUUUUAGUGUUCACAUGACAACCAACGAGCUCAAAAAUAAACUGCUCAACAGCGCACACAAGUUUGAGCACCAAUUUUGUAAUUUUCUCUAUGAACUCUUGGAAUGUUAUUUGGACACAAAAAAUUGCAAGCGCCUACAAUAUUUCGUCAUAAUCCAUCCCACAAUGUUCAGAAUUUUUGGAUUUUCUAUUUUUUUUAUAAUUUUACUGUUCAUGGAGGUACCAUGGAGCUCUUGCUAUGAAAAACCGCUCUCAAUAAUAAAUAGUCCUAAGUAUGGUUCAACGGAAGUGGCACUUCGAGCUUUUGAUUGA
rnacentral:rRNA from 1 species